AUUGAACGCUGGCGGCAGGCCUAACACAUGCAAGUCGAGCGGAUGAGAAGAGCUUGCUCUUCGAUUCAGCGGCGGACGGGUGAGUAAUGCCUAGGAAUCUGCCUGGUAGUGGGGGACAACGUUUCGAAAGGAGCGCUAAUACCGCAUACGUCCUACGGGAGAAAGCAGGGGACCUUCGGGCCUUGCGCUAUCAGAUGAGCCUAGGUCGGAUUAGCUAGUUGGUGAGGUAAUGGCUCACCAAGGCGACGAUCCGUAACUGGUCUGAGAGGAUGAUCAGUCACACUGGAACGGAGACACGGUCCAGACUCCUACGGGAGGCAGCAGUGGGGAAUAUUGGACAAUGGGCGAAAGCCUGAUCCAGCCAUGCCGCGUGUGUGAAGAAGGUCUUCGGAUUGUAAAGCACUUUAAGUUGGGAGGAAGGGCAGUAAGUUAAUACCUUGCUGUUUUGACGUUACCGACAGAAUAAGCACCGGCUAACUCUGUGCCAGCCGCCGCGGUAAAAC
rnacentral:rRNA from 1 species